rnacentral:misc_RNA from 1 species
UAGCUUCUCGGUCUUCUACCACAUAUUCCUUCGUUAGUUCUUGUUUGGCAAGAACGUGGUAAUGGCGUUCACUGAUCCUUUGUCCACAUAUAAUGGCAAUGAAGAAACCAUAGAGCAAACCCACCAAAACAAUAGCUAAACCAGCCAUUGUAUAAAACCCGUAAGGAUGUUCUUCAUAGCCAAACAUUUCUCUGAGCUCCUCCCCAUAGAACUUGUAGACAAGCAUCCCCAAGAGUGCAACAAUCAGCUGAACAACUACAAAAAUGAAUGCGUGGUCCCUGGCAACAAGGAACUGAAAUUUCAAUCUCAACCACCAGCGGUCAGGUGGGACAUUGGCACGUAACACAAACAAUGCCCUGCACUCUGUGCAAUGAGCAAAAGCAAAGCCCUCCUUGGUUGACCUCCAGUUAUCAAGGCAUGACCUAUGAACAUACUUCUGAGUGCCUUUGCAAUGGCAUGGUGCAAUUAGGUCUUCUCCUCCAGUAUCAAGGCAAAUACGGCAUUGAGGUUGAUCUGGAUUNAACUAGAUGGUAAGUUUCAUCGAUUUGAACACCUUCUAAAUCAUCGCAAUCCCGUGCUAUAG